rnacentral:rRNA from 1 species
AUCUAUGGCCAUACUGCCCUGAACAUGCCCAAUCUCGCCUGAUCUCAGAAGCUAAGCAGGGUCGGGCCUGGUUAGUACUUGGAUGGGAAACCACCUUGGAAUACCUGUUGCUGUAGACG